rnacentral:rRNA from 1 species
AGAGUUUGAUCCUGGCUCAGGAUGAACGCUAGCUACAGGCUUAACACAUGCAAGUCGAGGGGAAACGACAUCGAAAGCUUGCUUUUGAUGGGCGUCGACCGGCGCACGGGUGAGUAACGCGUAUCCAACCUGCCCACCACUUGGGGAUAACCUUGCGAAAGUAAGACUAAUACCCAAUGACGUCUCUAGAAGACAUCUGAAAGAGAUUAAAGAUUUAUCGGUGAUGGAUGGGGAUGGCGUCUGAUUAGGCUUGGUUGGCGGGGUAACGGCCCACCAAGGCGACGAUCAGUAGGGGUUCUGAGAGGAAGGUCCCCCANAUUGGAACUGAGACCACGGUCCAAACUCCGUACGGGAGCA